GAUGAACGCUGGCGGCGUGCUUAACACAUGCAAGUCGAACGGAAAGGCUCCUGCUUGCAGGGGUACUCGAGUGGCGAACGGGUGAGUAACACGUGGGUGAUCUGCCCUGCACUUCGGGAUAAGCCUGGGAAACUGGGUCUAAUACCGGAUAGGACGAUGGUUUGGAUGCCAUUGUGGAAAGUUUUUCGGUGUGGGAUGAGCUCGCGGCCUAUCAGCUUGUUGGUGGGGUAAUGGCCUACCAAGGCGUCGACGGGUAGCCGGCCUGAGAGGGUGUACGGCCACAUUGGGACUGAGAUACGGCCCAGACUCCUACGGGAGGCAGCAGUGGGGAAUAUUGCACAAUGGGCGCAAGCCUGAUGCAGCGACGCCGCGUGGGGGAUGACGGCCUUCGGGUCGUAAACUCCUUUCGCUAGGGACGAAGCGCAAGUGACGGUACCUGGAGAAGAAGCACCGGCUAACUACGUG
rnacentral:rRNA from 1 species